rnacentral:rRNA from 1 species
UACAGAGGGGGCAAGCGUUAAUCGGAUUUACUGGGCGUAAAGCGCGCGUAGGCGGAUAGUUAAGUUAGGUGUAAAAGACCUGGGCUUAACCUCGGGAGGUCACUUAAUACUGUGUAUCUGGAGUGGGGCAGAGGGUAGCGGAAUUUCCAGUGUAGCGGUGAAAUGCGUAGAGAUCGGAAAGAACACCUGUGGCGAAGGCGGCUCCCUGGCUGCUUACUGACGCUGAGGCGAGAAAGCGUGGGGAGCGAACAGG